rnacentral:rRNA from 1 species
CCAAGUGACCUACCCAUGUCCAGGUUGAAGGUGCAGUAAAAUGCACUGGAGGACCGAACUCGUGUACGUUGAAAAGUGCUGAGAUGAGGUGUGGGUAGCGGUGAAAUUCCAAACGAACUUGGAGAUAGCUGGUUCUCUCCGAAAUAGCUUUAGGGCUAGCCUCGGAAUUAGGAUCGUGGAGGUAGAGCCACUGUUUGGACUAGGGGCCCAUCAAGGGUUACCGAAUUCAGAUAAACUCCGAAU